rnacentral:lncRNA from 1 species
AUCGUAACCGAUUGGUAGCCCAGAGGUUUCGUCGAUAUGUUAAUGUCAGUAACAAGUUACAAAACUUAUGGACGGGUUCGAUUCCCAGUGAAGGCAUAUAGAAAUUACAAAAAUUAAAGGUAAGUUUUUAAAAAUAAUUGCAUUAGUGAACAGAAAUCAGGAAAUUAGUCAAUUCAAACUUAAUGAUAUUAGGAACACAAAGGAAACAAUAGAAUAUAAUCUGGUGAGUCCAUUUCAGCGACGGAUUUAGGAAGC